GGCCUUAUACCUUUCAACAAGACCAUCAGCCUUGUAUUUUAUUUUAUAGACCCAUUUACAGCUAAUGGGUUUCUUACCAGGAGGAAGGAGAACAACAUCCCAAGUAUGGUUAGCUUCCAAAGCAUCAAACUCCUGUCUCAUGGCUGUCUGCCAUGCUGGGACAGAUGCAGCUUGAGAGUAAUACAAAUGUUCAGAUUCCAAAGUAGAAGAAGAGGAACCAGAAAAGGCAUGGAGUUGGCAGACAUAAUCCUUAAGAUAGGAAGGAGGAUUAUGCUGUCUAGUGGACUUUCUAGGAGCAGGACUUGAGUGUGAAUGAGGUAAAACAGGGGGAGAGACAUCAGGAUUGAAAGAAAACUUUCUAGGAACAGGACUGGAGUGUGAAUGAGGUAAAACAGGGGGAGCGACAUCAGGAUUGAAAGAAGGAAGGGAAUAUGGAGCAGCAUCAGUAAAGGCAGGAACAGGAGAAUCAGAUGGAGGGGAUGAAGCAUGGAGAGGAAAAUC
rnacentral:lncRNA from 1 species